rnacentral:tRNA from 1 species
GGGCUCAUGGUCAAAUGGGAAGACACAAGCUCGGCAGGCUGGAAAUCCGAGUUCGAUUCUCGGUGGGUCCA